AGAAGUGCGAAUGCUGACAUAAGUAACGAUAAAGCGGGUGAAAAGCCCGCUCGCCGGAAGACCAAGGGUUCCUGUCCAACGUUAAUCGGGGCAGGGUGAGUCGACCCCUAAGGCGAGGCCGAAAGGCGUAGUCGAUGGGAAACGGGUUAAUAUUCCCGUACUUGGUGUUACUGCGAAGGGGGGACGGAGAAGGCUAUGUUGGCCGGGCGACGGUUGUCCCGGUUUAAGCGUGUAGGUGUGUGUUCCAGGUAAAUCCGGUUCACUUUAACACUGAGGCGUGACGACGAGGCACUACGGUGCUGAAGCAACAAAUGCCCUGCUUCCAGGAAAAGCCUCUAAGCAUCAGGUAACAUCAAAUCGUACCCCAAACCGACACAGGUGGUCAGGUAGAGAAUACCAAGGCGCUUGAGAGAACUCGGGUGAAGGAACUAGGCAAAAUGGUGCCGUAACUUCGGGAGAAGGCACGCUGACACGUAGGUGAAGUGAUUUACUCAUGGAGCUGAAGUCAGUCGAAGAUACCAGCUGGCUGCAACUGUUUAUUAAAAACACAGCACUGUGCAAACACGAAAGUGGACGUAUACGGUGUGACGCCUGCCCGGUGCCGGAAGGUUAAUUGAUGGGGUCAGCGCAAGCGAAGCUCCUGAUCGAAGCCCCGGUAAACGGCGGCCGUAACUAUAACGGUCCUAAGGUAGCGAAAUUCCUUGUCGGGUAAGUUCCGACCUGCACGAAUGGCGUAAUGAUGGCCAGGCUGUCUCCACCCGAGACUCAGUGAAAUUGAACUCGCUGUGAAGAUGCAGUGUACCCGCGGCAAGACGGAAAGACCCCGUGAACCUUUACUAUAGCUUGACACUGAACAUUGAGCCUUGAUGUGUAGGAUAGGUGGGAGGCUUUGAAGCGUGGACGCCAGUCUGCGUGGAGCCGACCUUGAAAUACCACCCUUUAAUGUUU
rnacentral:rRNA from 1 species